CUAGAGUAUGGUAGAGGGUAAGUGGAAUUUCCAGGUUGUAGCAGGUGAAAUGCGUAGAUUAUCGGAGAGGAACACCCAGUGGCGAAGGCGAGCUUCCCGUGGGCUCAAUACGGGACGCUGAGGUGCGAAAGCGUGGGGAGCAAACAGGAUUUAGAUACCCCUGGGUAGUCCACGCCGUAGAUACGAUGAGAACUAGAUGUCGGGAGGAUCUCGCCUUUCGGUGUCAGCACGCUAACGCGUUAAGUUGGUCCGCCUGGGGAGUACGCCGGCAACGGGUAAAACUCAAAGGAUAUUGACGG
rnacentral:rRNA from 1 species